rnacentral:rRNA from 1 species
UACGUAGGGUGCAAGCGUUGUCCGGAAUUAUUGGGCGUAAAGAGCUCGUAGGCGGUCUGUCGCGUCUGCUGUGAAAACUCGGGGCUUAACCCCGGGCCUGCAGUGGGUACGGGCAGACUAGAGUGCGGUAGGGGAGACUGGAAUUCCUGGUGUAGCGGUGAAAUGCGCAGAUAUCAGGAGGAACACCGGUGGCGAAGGCGGGUCUCUGGGCAUUACCUGACGCUGAGGAGCGAAAGUGUGGGGAGCGAACAGG